UUUUCUCCUUCCGGUUUCUGUCCACUCCUGCCAUCCUGCGGGUCCCUAGAGGUGAUCGUCUUCUGCAUGUUCUCUGUGCACACUUAUUCUAUUACCCUGGCUGCAAAUUCUUAGACGCUUUCUUUGGGGACACCUGGCUGGCUCGGCCGGUAGAGCUUGCGACUCUUGAUCUCGGGAUCAUGAGUUCGAGACCCAUGUUGGGUGCAGAGAUUACUAAAGAUAUAAACUUAAAAAAAAAAAAAAGCAGUUCUCUUUUGUUUUUUCCUAAACACUUAUUCUCCAUGUUUUUUCUUUUGUUUUCCUCUUUUUCUUUUCUUUUCUUUUUUUAGUAUGUAUUUAUUUUGGGGAGAACACAAGAGGGGGAGGGGCAGAGAGCGGAUCUGAAGCAGGCUCCGCACUGACAGGCUGACAGCAGAGAUCCCGAUGUGGGGCUCGAAUAUAUGAACCGCAAGAUCAUGAACUGAACCAAGGUCGGACCCUUAACUGAGCCAUCUAAGUGCCCCCUUCUGUUUUUCUUUCCUACAACUGUUUCUCAUAAUGCUGUUUCUCUCCUUUAGAGCGCUCUCACUCUUCUGAGUUCAGCCCAUCUUCUCUGAGUUCACUGCCCUUUGUUUUGGACUGUUUACAUCCUGGACAUUAGGCACUGAGCUGUAACCCUAGGGCCCCCCUUCCCCACACUAAGGCCAGGCACUUAGUCCACAUGAGGAAGAGAGGGAACGAAUGCAAAGGACAAGCUCUAGAAACACCUGCAGUCCACUAAGGAACCCCAACCUGUCAGCUUUGUCAUUUCUGGACCACAUCUUUCUCUCUGCAUUGAGCAAGAAGCUAUUUAUCUGCCCCUCUGGAAGCCCCAGCAUUUCAAGGGAAGGAGGCUGAUUUACUGGCAAAAUGUGACCCAGAGGACCAUUCUCCCCCAACCCCACCCCCACCCUCCAUCAUUUAAAAAAAAAAAACAAAAAAAAAAAAACAGAGCAAGCUGGGCUAUCAGGGAUACUUCCUGUUUUCCUCUCUUGAAAGCAUCCUGGAUAGAUGAAACAGGGAUCCAAGGGACUGUCUGCCUCUGGGGCUUCGGGACUGGCAGAAUGGCUUUUAACCCUCUGCUGUCUCCAGCGCCUGAGUGCCGUAGGUAGUUUAUGUGUUCUAUUUCCUGGGUAGAUUUAACUUCUUGAGGGCAGGGGCCUUGCAUUCAUGCUUUCGUCAAACAUUACUGUACUCUACUAAAUGCCAGCCUUUGUUUGAGGAUCUGGGGAUACAGGGAUGAAUAUAUGACACAGUCCCUGGCCUCAUUCAUCAAACAGCAAUGACUACAAGUGCUGACAAGAUUAAGCACUUUCUCUGUGUCAUGCAUUCGCUACAUGCUUUUCAUGCAUUCAGUCCUCACAACGAGCUUACGGGGCAUUAUUAUGCCCAUUUUACAGAUAAGGAAAGCAAGAUUUAUGAAAGUUAAAUAUGCUGUCACAGGCACAUGAGUAGCAGAUGCCAAGGCUGGGGUUAGAGUCCAGCGGUCCGACAGCUCAGUCCACCUUCUUCGCUGCUAUGCUAGCCUGCCCUCUGCAGAAACUACCUCCGUGUCUUAAACGUGGUAAUGACUCACUGCAAGUAAUUUUUACAAACGCGGUUUAUUGCUUGGGCUUGGUCAGGGUAUCUUCCGAUGACCAGGUUUGUUUGCAAUCCACUUACUGCACUGUAUCAGACUAGAUUGGACGUGAGGUGGUUUGCAGCCCCUGAAGACUGGAAAGCAAGGCUGAGAAACUAAGAGGUCAUGUUUGGCCCCCGUUUGGAAGCUGAAGACUGUUUCAGGCUCUUUCAUUCCCCUGCCAUUUCUGGAACAGUUCUGAUUCCCCCUACCUUUUUCUUUUCUUUAUUAUUAUUAAAAAAAAUUUUUUUUGUGGGGUGGGGGGAAGAAUAUUUUUGAAAAAAAAACUUGAUGGGAAGUUGAUACAUUAUAACAGCAACGAAGUGAACUGUAUAUACCGAGGAAUUAUUCUACGCCUUUGCUUAUAUCAUCGCUUACAUCCUCGCAACAAUAGUUGGUUUUGUUUUUCCAUUUCUGGGGAGGACCCGAGGCGCGGACUGGUUUAGUUAGCAUACCCCAGAUCACACAGCUAGACAGAACCAGGUUUUUGAUCCUAGGUUUGCCCAACUCCAAAACCUACAUUUUAAUCAUGCUGUCUCCCUGAUGCUGGAACUUGGCAGAGGGAGGAAGGAACUCCCUUCCUGCUGACCUUCCUGACACAGUUAAGUGGCGGGUGAGGAUACCCAGUAACCUUGAGAUCUGUUGGUUAGGGAUACUGGCACAAAAGGAUCUUAAGGUGCUUCUGAGCUGCAAUUUUAUCUCUUUAAGACCCAGGGCUCCCAUGCCAAGGCUGUUCUGUGAUCCUCGGAGAUUUCAGGGGUGGGGAAACUGGAUGGAACGCGCUGACAUACAACAAGCAAAAAAAGACCUCAGCAUUUUUGCCUCGCCUCGGUGGCUCCUGCCUUUUUUUUUUUUUCUUUCUCUCCCUCUCUCAUUUAUUUAUUACUAUGCUAUUCCCUGGCCCUGCUGCUGUGUCAAUACUGAUAAAAGCAAAUCUCCCCACAAACAGGUGCAGCCAGAGCUGCCCCUUGGACAGCUGCCAGGGAAUGUGAUCGCUCAGCUGAGGUGACCUGCCCCUGCCCAACCCCCUUCUCGGGUUCCAGCCCAGGGCAUGUGUCCUUGGGCGGUUAAUGUCUGCGUGUUCAGAGCCUGGUAUCUCAGCUGGCAUCACGGACUCAAGAUGGCACAUGUGAGGAAAUGGAAGCCCUGAGAAGUUUAAUGUCGUACGGGAUUGCUGCAGAGCUGGGACUUGCACCCGGGCCUCUGGGUGCUAACGUCAAUGAGCUUCACUGUGGCAUUGUGCUGCAUGGAGAAGAUCCUGGAAAGGCUUGCAACAAUUUCCAAAGCGGGGAAGGAGUCCUCCUGUUAGAGCAGGUUGGAAACCACUGAGCCGGGCUGUGGAGGCAGCAUGUUAUACCCCCUCAGCAGAGACGGAGUCAUGAGACCUGAGACCCGCACAUCUUUAUUGGAGCGUCUAAUACAAACACCGAGAUGAGCCGGUCAAAACCAACCCCAUGGCGCACCACCGCUAAGUUUCCUCCAGCUUGAUCUGCAUUCCUUGGAUUGAAAGUGUAACCGACUUAGAGCAAAGUGCAGUACACUUUAAUGUACAGCUUGGUGAAUUUUUACGUACGUAGGUACCUGUGUAAUCUCCACCCGGAUCAGGAUACAGGACAUUUCCAGCACCCUGCAAGGUUCCCUCGUGCUCCCUCCUGGUCUAUUCUCCUCCCCAGAGCCCUAUGAAGAAUGUUGCAGAACAGCAUUUCCUGUAUGAUGUUCCACGGACCCAAGCCUCAAGAAGAUUCCUCAAGGGAUUUCAUAGUGAAAUAUGUUUAGGAAAUGCCAGGCUCCUCUUGAUGAUUCACAAUGUACAUUAGUAAAUUAAAGACUCUGAGAAAUUCUCCAGGAAAGAAGCCCAUUUCAGUUGGCAUAAGUCAGUACAUCCCAAACAGGUGGGGAAGGACUCUGCUCUCAAUAGCAAAAUGGCUCUGGGGUUCUGUGGGACCAGUUUGGGAAACACUGUGAUAGCCGACUCACGAAUAAAGAGCUGAGUGAAAAGCACAGGUUCUGAGAAUCUCCGCAGCAUGAUUGAAACUAACCAACCAACCUAUGUACAUAUUUGUAUUUGGAAAAAAAAAAAAAAAAAAAGUCUAGC